AUUGAACGCUGGCGGCAGGCCUAACACAUGCAAGUCGAGCGGAUGAAGGGAGCUUGCUCCUGGAUUCAGCGGCGGACGUGUGAGUAAUGCCUAGGAAUCUGCCUGGUAGUGGGGGAUAACGUCCGGAAACGGGCGCUAAUACCGCAUACGUCCUGAGGGAGAAAGUGGGGGAUCUUCGGACCUCACGCUAUCAGAUGAGCCUAGGUCGGAUUAGCUAGUUGGUGGGGUAAAGGCCUACCAAGGCGACGAUCCGUAACUGGUCUGAGAGGAUGAUCAGUCACACUGGAACUGAGACACGGUCCAGACUCCUACGGGAGGCAGCAGUGGGGAAUAUUGGACAAUGGGCGAAAGCCUGAUCCAGCCAUGCCGCGUGUGUGAAGAAGGUCUUCGGAUUGUAAAGCACCUUAAGUUGGGAGGAAGGGCAGUAAGUUAAUACCUUGCUGUUUUGACGUUACCAACAGAAUAAGCACCGGCUAACUUCGU
rnacentral:rRNA from 1 species